rfam:Otolemur garnettii contig071390, whole genome shotgun sequence.
UCUUAGGAAGAAAAUUCUGUUCAUUUCUGCUAGUGAAGGGAGAGAGAUGAAUGCUUUUAAUGCUGAAGAA